rnacentral:rRNA from 1 species
GAUGAACGCUGGCGGCGUGCCUAAUACAUGCAAGUCGAGCGAACAGAUGAGGAGCUUGCUCCUCUGACGUUAGCGGCGGACGGGUGAGUAACACGUGGAUAACCUACCUAUAAGACUGGGAUAACUUCGGGAAACCGGAGCUAAUACCGGAUAAUAUAUUGAACCGCAUGGUUCAAUAGUGAAAGACGGUUUUGCUGUCACGUAUUGAUUGAUCCGCGCCGCAUUAGCUAGUUGGUAAGGUAACGGCUUACCAAGGCAACGAUGUGUAACCGACCUGAAAGGGUGGUCGGCCAGCUUGGAACGGAGACACGGCACAGACUCCUACGCGAGGACGCAGUAGGGACUCUUCCGCAAUGGGCGAAAGCCUGACGGAGCAACGCCGCGUGAGUGAUGACGGUCUUAGGACCGUAAAACUAUGUUAGUAGGGAAGAACAAAUGUGUAAGUACCUAUGCACGUCUUGACGGUACCUAAUCAGAAAGCCCCGGCUAACUACGUG